rnacentral:sRNA from 1 species
UUAAGCCCCGGAGACUGAAGUUAUCUAUCUAUGCUUAGAACAGGAUCAGCACAGGCAGAAGCAAAUCAAGUUUUCCCUACACUGCUCCACCAUGCUGCCUCAAUAUUCUUCUUUUAAGCUUGAGGGCUAGUUCAGUUUGUGCCUGUUCCAGGACUUUG